UGGGGGAUAUUGCACAAUGGGCGAAAGCCUGAUGCAGCGACGCCGCGUGGGGGAUGAAGGCUUUCGGGUUGUAAACCUCUUUCGCUAUCGAACAAGGCCCGCUUAGGGUGGGUUGAGGGUAGGUGGAGAAGAAGCGCCGGCUAACUACGUGCCAGCAGCCGCGGUAAUACGUAGGGCGCGAGCGUUGUCCGGAAUUAUUGGGCGUAAAGGGCUUGUAGGCGGCUUGUCGCGCCUGCUGUGAAAACGCGGGGCUUAACUUCGCGCGUGCAGUGGGUACGGGCAGGCUUGAGUGUGGUAGGGGUGACUGGAAUUCCAGGUGUAGCGGUGGAAUGCGCAGAUAUCUGGAGGAGCACCGAUGGCGAAGGCAGGUCACUGGGCCAUUACUGACGCUGAGGAGCGAAAGCAUGGGUAGCGAACAGG
rnacentral:rRNA from 1 species